UAAACUCGUCGCCCAGGGGGGGAAAGCCGCUGAAUGCGGUAAGUACCUCUUCAACUGGGCGGUGAGGACA
rfam:Hepatitis C virus isolate QC176, complete genome